AUACGGAGGGUGCAAGCGUUAUUCGGAAUCACUGGGCGUAAAGGACGCGUAGGCGGGUUGGCAAGUCAGAUGUGAAAUCCUACAGCUUAACUGUAGAACUGCAUUUGAAACUGCUAACCUAGAGUAUGGGAGGGGGAGAUGGAAUUAGUGGUGUAGGGGUAAAAUCCGUAGAUAUCACUAGGAAUACCGAAAGCGAAGGCGAUCUCCUGGAACAUAACUGACGCUAAGGCGUGAAAGCGUGGGGAGCUAACAGGAUUAGAUACCCUAGUAGUCC
rnacentral:rRNA from 1 species